rnacentral:rRNA from 1 species
CAGUCGCCACGGGAAUACGAAGGGUGCAAGCGUUAAUCGGAAUUACUGGGCGUAAAGCGUGCGUAGGCGGUGAGUUAAGUCUGCUGUGAAAUCCCCGGGCUCAGCCUGGGAACUGCGCUUGUGACUGCACAGCUAGAGUAUGGCAGAGGGGGGUGGAAUUCCACGUGUAGCAGUGAAAUGCGUAGAGAUCAGGAGGAACACCGAUGGCGAAGGCAGCCCCCUGGGCCUGUACUGACGCUCAUGCACGAAAGCGUGGGGAGCAAACAGGAUUAGAUACCCCUGUAGUCCCUGUCUCUUAUAC